rnacentral:miRNA from 1 species
CCCAGCGCCGAAUCCCCGCCCC